rnacentral:tRNA from 1 species
GGCGUGGUGUAAUGGUUUGAGUGUUGGACUACAAUGCUGGAGACCAGGGUUCAAUUCCCUGCUUAGCCG